GCCAUGGUGAAUACAUUCAUGAAAUCAGUGAAGUACAAAGUAACUAAUGUGAUUUAUAGCAUCCUAUAACACUUGCUUAUCCAGGGCCUUGUGAAGAUCAGUAUACUAUCAAACAAAUGGAGGUAUACAUGGGCUUCAAUGCCACAAACAAUAAUAUGCAGCAAUGACCAGUGUACUAUGAAGGUGAGAAUUUCCUUACCAAGUGACAUGAUUGAUAUCUUUCUUCAAUACUUGCCCCUCCAAGACUUUGUUAGAACAUAUAUACUAUCAAAGGAUUAGAGGUCAUAAUUGGGCUUCAAUCCCACAACAUGAGUUUAGAUAUGAUUUUUUUGAGAAGUGUAAGAUUCUAGAAUACCUUGAAAUUUCAAGUAUGUCAUGGCAGUUCUUCUGCUGCAUAGUGGUUCAAUACAUGAGUUUACUUUUUACAUCACUAUAAACUUCCCAAUUAAAAUUGAAUUGCUCAAUAAAAGGAGUUUAAUAUUACAUGAAAAUAAAGUGAUUUAAUUUCAUGAGUUUUCAAGCGAACUAAUUAACAUAUAUCAAACAACCUAAUCUAAUAGUGUUAUAUUUGACAUGGAUCACUUUCUUGGUUAGUAAGCUCAUGAAAUUUAAUUACCUUUUCUUGAUAAGAACAAAAUAAACUUUUUGAGGGAUUCAAUUUUGAUUGGAAAGUUCGUAUGAAUUAAUGUAAAGAGUAAAUCCAUGUAAUGGCCCAUUGUGUUUGUUGUAUUGGAAAUUCUCUAUAUUUCUUUUUUAUGGGGUCUGAACAUUCCCCAUUCUAUUAUACUCUUUCUCAAUGAUGAUGAAAUCUGAAAAGAAAUUCGGAAAAUGGUAUACGAGAAAGGAAAUGGAACCAGUGAAAUAUGCUUCUCCAGGUAUUAAAUUUUGUCAUUCAAUUUUUCAUCUUUUAUUUUGGUUUCACACUUUUGGCACAAUGUUCUUUUCAUUUUUUAAAUAAGUUAUAAUGAACCAUGCUUUCUUGGUUGGUGAUGACAUCUUAUAAGAGUUGUUUAAUAACAAUAUCUUGAAAAGUUUUAUGCAUGAAAGUGGGAAGAAGGACAUCAAGAAUGGAAAACCCUUGUUUUACAAACAUCAAGAUGGAAAAGCUCUUGUAAAGCCCUCAUUUUUGUAGGAUUUAUGUUAAUGGUUAAAAUGGAUAAUUAAUUGAUCGAUGGAAAGAUUGUUAAUUAUCUAAAAGAAGGUUGUAGAGACGGCCUCAACCCAGCUAUUUUCAAAAGAAAUCUGGCAUCUCUAUGGUCCUGAGAUUUUUCACUCUAGAACAACUUGGCUUGAAACACGACAUUUCCCCAGGUUCUUGGCAUUGCCUCGAUUGACUAGGUCUAGGUCGGUCCGUAAAAGAUUGCCAUAAAUAUAACUAUACAAGAGUUUCUACGUUAACUUGCUUCCAUCUCCAUCAUUGUCAAAGCAGGACAUAUUUUUUCCACUGGCUUUCUUACUCAACCCAGGUGAUUGCUUGCUUCCUCUCUCAAUCUUUCAUCAAAUUUUUUAUCAUGAUUUAUUUAUCUUAUGAUUAAAUUUGAUGAGUUUAGGUCUUUGCUUUUGUCAUCACAAUAUGGAUCUUACAUUUUGUUCUUUUAAAAAGAUUUCCUACUUAUUUGUUACUUGCCCUAUCUGUAAGAUUUUAGUAUAAAAAUUUAAAUAUUUUGGCUUCCUAUUUAAAAUUAUGAAAUAUUUUUCGUAGGUUUUGAAUUACUUGCCACACAACAAGAAAAUCAUGCUUCUUAUAUUAAAUUGACUUUUUGGAAUAAUUCUUAAAAAUGAUUGAUUGUUAUAGUCAUUGGAAUAGUGAUGUUUAGUUUUCUUCAUAAAAAAUGAUUUUUUUGUUUUUAUUUUUAAUUAUUAUUCAUUUUUCAUUUUCUUAGUGGCAUGCACCACACAUAACAAGAAAUUAACCAUGCUUGUUUUCUAUUAAUGGAUUAUUUACGAACACCUCACACACCCUAUAAAUUUGGCUCAUGAAAUGUUGUAGAGAAACCACAAAUGGCUUAAAAAACCCUUAUCUUUUAAUCUAACUUUCAAGAUUUCAGUAGCACUUAUUUUGCUUUUAUUAAUUUAGUAUGAAUAUAGCCAGCUUUAGCAUCUUGGCCAAAGUUCACAUUGAGGUCUAUAUAUAUAGAAAUAUUAUGGUUUUAAAGGUUUUAUUAGUAUUUUAAAAUUAUAUUCCAUAAUUUUUGUAUUUGCAACACAACUGAAUUUUCAAUUUAAAACUUUGAAUCUUAGUAAAAUAGACUUUAUAUCUUUUGAAUUAUAUUUGAAAAUUAAUGUGACCGAUUGCAUUCUAAUAAAAUCAAAGAACUUUUUUUUAUCCUUUGGAGAGAAUAGAUUUUUUUUUUAGUUUUGGAGUACAAAUAUAAUUCUACUUCAUAAGGUCUUUUUUGUUAAAAAGCAAGCAAACCACUACAAAGACAUUUUCAUUGAAGUAAAACUAUUUAGUUUUAUUUUGAAUUGAUUUGACUUAUUUUGUUUUUUUUUUUUUUGGAUUGUAAUUUAAUUAAUACGAGCAUUGAGUUGCUCUUAACUGAAGUUCAGGACAAAGUUUUGUUUGAGAGAUAAUUGUUAGUGUAAGGGAGGAAGUUGGUGCAGUACCUUCGAUGUGGGACUACUUGCACCUGUUAUCGAAGGGAAGGAGGAAAAUUUUUUAGAAGAGAAGGAAGAUACAUAUUAUUUGGAUGUAACGUGCAUAAAGAAGGAAGGAGAUGUGGUGCAAAAUUCUGUUAGAAGGGAAGGACACGUGGCUCACGAUCCGCAGAGUGAGGGAGGCAAGUGUAGCACUAGGUUAAGGAGGGGGAAUAUAAGGAUGGAGGAUUACACAUUGUAGGAUUAUUCUGAGGUGAUUCUGUUGCCGGCAUACGACCGAGGAGUGUGCCGCGAUCAUCAUUCUCCCUCUACUUCAUUGCCUUAGUGUUUUUGUAGCUUAUCGUUGAUUUUUGUUCUCUGUUCAUUGUAAUAAACUACUGCUGCAUAAUUGAAUUGUUUCAUUGGUGUUUUCAUUGUGCUUCCAUGGCUGAGAACAAGCAUUUGAAGGAUUUGCAAAAAGAAAUUCGUACACAUUCAGAUGAUAUUCGCCAUCUUGGUCAAACGAUGGAUAUGCGUUACCAAGAGAAAAAUGAUAAGAUGCUUCAGAUCCAAAAUUCUAUGGGUCAAAUUCAGUUAGCGAUGAAUCUGUUAUUACGGAAUGCUUCUCAACCUCCUGAAAGUUCUCCAAACAAUGGCUCCCCGAUGGUGCAACCAAUUAAUGCUUCUUUGCCUGUUAAAGAGAUCUCACUUGGAUUUCCUCACUUCAAUGGAACAACACCAGUGAUGGAGUGGAUCUUCAAGGCGGAAAAUUUUUUCACAUAUCAUAAUACUCCUGAUGCGUCUAGAGUGGAUAUUGCGGCAAUGCAUUUUGAUAAGGAUGUAGUGGCAUGGUUCCAGAUGUUGCAGAAAUUAUCUCUGGUGUCUACUUGGUCUGAGUUGACUCAUGCUCUAGAGUCUCAAUUCAGUCCUUCACCUUUUGAUUGUCUAAUGGUUGAGCUCUUCAAGUUUCAACAAACAGGUUCGGUAUCAGCUUAUUACCUCAAAGUUUAUGUCUCUAGCUAAUAGAUCUUUGGGAUUAAGUAAUGAGGCUCUCCUUAAUUGUUUCAUUAGUGGUUUAAAUCCUGAUAUUAUAAGAGAUGUUGUUGCUAUGUGCCCUCCUACCUUAUUGCGUGCAGUUGCUUUAGCUAAACUUUUUGAAGAAAAAUAUGGUCUUGUUUCUAAGCCAUUUCAAAAAUUCCUAUAGUCACAAAUAUUCCCAAAUUUCUUUUACCCCAGUCUCUAUUAAUGCUCAACCAAAAACACAAAUUAAAUCCAGUUUACCUUUGCUUUUACCUACUCCACUAGGGCCUCCAAUUCGGUCCAUGAAUGUAAAAAGGAUUGCUCCUGUUGAAAUGCAAUUGAGAAGGGAAAAAUGAUUGUGUUA